rnacentral:rRNA from 1 species
UGCGUAGGUGGCAAGCGUUGUCCGGAUUUAUUGGGUUUAAAGGGUGCGUAGGCGGCUUAUUAAGUCAGUGGUGAAAUACUCUAGCUCAACUAGAGGGGUGCCAUUGAUACUGAUGAGCUUGAGUACAGAUGAGGUAGGCGGAAUUGACGGUGUAGCGGUGAAAUGCUUAGAUAUCGUCAAGAACACCUAUAGCGAAGGCAGCUUACUAGGCUGUAACUGACGCUGAGGCACGAAAGUGUGGGGAUCAAACAGG